AAUCCAGACGUGGACGAGACAGACCGAGGGUCCGGGGCCUCGUGGAAGCCAAGGCCUGCCGGCCAGGAGGAAAAAGGUGGCUUCGGGUUGUCUCUCCAGCUACUUACCCACUAGGGGAGGCCCCUGCUGACCUUGUAGAGCGGGGCAUUGGCCAGAGCACAGAGCUACCGAUGUGAGGGACUCAGGCUGCCAGAAACCUGGCGCGUUUGCUGCCUGCCAGAGCCCUUCCUCGAUAACCCAGAAGCUGCCAGUGCCUCAGCCCAUCCUCAGCACAAUCCUGUCACCAGGGAACCGUAAGCCCAUUUUACAGAUGAAGAAACCUCGCAGCAAAUACCAGUGGUCACGCAGCUGAAAAGUGGAAGAGUGUGCCCUGUCUUACCUCAGACCACACUUUCAACAGUUCUGCAGUCCCAGCUCUGCCCAUCGGAACCCUGUCCACCCUCUGAUGCCCCAAGGACCGCCUCCACCAUGCUGCCUUCCCUAACAGUCCCCUCAAGUGAGCUUUCCCUGCCCUGAACUUCCAGAUAUGUGGACAGUAUUUCUUUCUUUCUCCUGGCAUGAUUAAAUUGGGUGUCUGGUUA